GGGGCUAUAGCUCAGCUGGGAGAGCGCCUGCUUUGCACGCAGGAGGUCUGCGAGUGAAUAGCUCCACCA
rnacentral:tRNA from 1 species